rnacentral:rRNA from 1 species
GUCGAUGAAGAGUGCAGCCAACUGUGUGAA